GUGCUGUGAUGCCAACUGUCAACACAUCAUUCUGAAGAAGAAUUGUGUGGAGACCUUCCGGGUUCUGAGCACC
ensembl:snoRNA SNORD63 Small nucleolar RNA SNORD63